rnacentral:rRNA from 1 species
UACAGAGGGUGCGAGCGUUAAUCGGAAUUACUGGGCGUAAAGCGCGCGUAGGCGGCUUUGCAAGUCGGGUGUGAAAUCCCCAGGCUUAACCUGGGAACUGCAUUCGAGACUGCAUUGCUAGAGUAUGGGAGAGGGAAGUGGAAUUUCCGGUGUAGCGGUGAAAUGCGCAGAUAUCGGGAGGAACACCGGUGGCGAAGGCGGUUCUCUGGGCCUGUACUGACGCUGACAGCGCGAAAGCCAGGGGAGCAAACGGG